rnacentral:misc_RNA from 1 species
GCAAACUUGGUCAUUUAGAGGAAGUAAAAGUCGUAACAAGGUUUCCGUAGGUGAACCUGCGGAAGGAUCAAUACCGAGUUUUGAAGUGGGUCUUUGAGCUGGCCUGUAAAAAGGCACUGUGCUCGGGCCCCGCUCCAUCCACUCAACCCCUGUGCACUUUCGAUGGUAGUGUGCGGAGGGGACCGUCUCUCUAGUUAGGGGGUCGGCCCUCGUCGAUGCCAUUGCUGUCGUCUUUAUCACAAACUCUUUGACAUGUCACUGUAGAACGUUGAAGCCUUUGCAGGCGGAAACUCAAUACAACUUUCAACAACGGAUCUCUUGGCUCUCGCAUCGAUGAAGAACGCAGC